rnacentral:rRNA from 1 species
ACGGGGUGCAGCAGGCGCGAAAACUUUACAAUGCCGGCAACGGCGAUAAGGGGACCUCGAGUGCCAGGAUACAAUCUUGGCUGUCGUGAUGCCUAAAAAGCAUUGCAUAGCAAGGGCCGGGCAAGACCGGUGCCAGCCGCCGCGGUAACACCGGCGGCUCGAGUGGUAACCGCUAUUAUUGGGUCUAAAGGGUCUGUAGCCGGCCGGAUAAGUCUCUUGGGAAAUCCAGCAGCUCAACUGUUGGGCUUUCAGGAGAUACUGUUCGGCUCGAGGCCGGGAGAGGUGAGAGGUACUUCAGGGGUAGGGGUGAAAUCUUGUAAUCCUUGAAGGACCACCAGUGGCGAAGGCGUCUCACCAGAACGGACCUGACGGCAAGGGACGAAAGCUAGGGGCACGAACCGGAUUAGAUACCCGGGUAGUCCUAGCCGUAAACGAUACUCGCUAGGUGUCGGCCACGGUGCGACCGUUGUCGGUGCCGUAGGGAAGCCGUGAAGCGAGCCACCUGGGAAGUACGGCCGCAAGGCUGAAACUUAAAGGAAUUGGCGGGGGAGCAC